CCUUUCACUCGUUUAUAUAGAAUUGAGCUCUUAUACCAUUUAAAAGUAUUAAGUCAUUAAUGCUUGUAAAUUUUGGACUCUUGGAUUGAGUAAUGUAUGGUUGGAAUAAUAGCGAUCCCAUAGGAUCGAUUGAGCGGGUGGUUGGUUGAUAGUAUGGUCUAACGGAUAAAAAUGAUCAAAAGGUAAAUCCAACAGCAAAAAACUUACAAACAGUAAGUAUUUUGUCCUUUUAAAAGCAAUAGCCUCUCUCUCUCUCUCUCUCUCUCUCUCUCUCUCUCUAUAUAUAUAUAUACUCCUAAGCCGUUUUCGAUUAUGAAAAUUUCGAAUCGACGAUCAGCUCAUUACACUUGAUUUAGCGUAUUUAAAGUAUCUAAAAAAAUAAAUUUUGUAAUUUUUUUGAUAUUCUUUACCUUGCGAUCGAAAAUGUUCAAAAUCAAUUGUUAAAAAUAAAAAUCUCAUAAAAGAUAGUGAUAUAGCACUAAAAUUUUUUAUCAGAUAUAUUGAUCUUGUUGUAGAUAGUAUGAAAAAAUUUUUAUUAAAAUUUCAUCUUAUUUGGGUACUUUUACACCGUUAAACUUAAAAAUGGCAGGCAUCAACAAUUGUAAAUAUUAAUUUUGAACCCAUUUGAUCGUUAGGUAAAUAAUAUCGAAAAAUUGCAAAAUUUAUUUUCUAGAUAUUUCAAAUAUGGUAGAUCAAGUCUAACGAGGCCAAUCAUCGAUUCGAAAAUUCAAUCAUACAGCUUAGGAGCACGGAGGUCUCCAUGCUUUUAAGAGCACAGCAGCCCCUCUAUCUCUCUCUACCUAUAUAUAUACAUAUAUAUUAAUAAAAAUGUAUAAAACUUAUCAAAACUAUGAUUCUCUUUGGGAUGACUACAUUUUUUUUUUUUUGAAAGAAAAGUAGUAUGCUAUCCGCUUCGUAAAUUUUUCUUUUAGAAAUAUAUAAAAUUAACUGAAAAUGUGAAUCAACUAGGAUUUAAGCUUAAAACCUCAGGUACUGACCACCAAAAUGCUAUAUAUUAACAAA
rnacentral:lncRNA from 1 species